rnacentral:rRNA from 1 species
UACAGAGGUCGUCAAGCGUUGUUCGGAUUCAUUGGGCGUAAAGGGUGCGUAGGCGGCGCGGUAAGUCGGGUGUGAAAUCUCGGAGCUUAACUCCGAAACUGCAUUCGAUACUGCCGUGCUUGAGGACUGGAGAGGAGACUGGAAUUUACGGUGUAGCGGUGAAAUGCGUAGAUAUCGUAAGGAAGACCAGUGGCGAAGGCGGUCUCUGGACAGUUCCUGACGCUGAGGCACGAAGGUCAGGGGAGCAAACGG